rnacentral:rRNA from 1 species
CCUACGGGUGGCAGCAGUGGGGAAUAUUGGACAAUGGGGGGAACCCUGAUCCAGCCAUGCCGCGUGUGUGAAGAAGGCCCUCGGGUUGUAAAGCACUUUCAGUGAGGAAGAACGCCUGGUGGUUAAUACCCAUCAGGAAAGACAUCACUCACAGAAGAAGCACCGGCUAACUCCGUGCCAGCAGCCGCAGUAAUACGGAGGGUGCGAGCGUUAAUCGGAAUUACUGGGCGUAAAGCGCGCGUAGGUGGCUUGAUAAGCCGGUUGUGAAAGCCCCGGGCUCAACCUGGGAACGGCAUCCGGAACUGUCAAGCUAGAGUGCAGGAGAGGAAGGUAGAAUUCCCGGUGUAGCGGUGAAAUGCGUAGAGAUCGGGAGGAAUACCAGUGGCGAAGGCGGCCUUCUGGACUGACACUGACACUGAGGUGCGAAAGCGUGGGUAGCAAACAGGAUUAGAUACCCCAGUAGUC